AGCGAACGCUGGCGGCAGGCCUAACACAUGCAAGUCGAACGAAGUCUUCGGACUUAGUGGCGGACGGGUGAGUAACACGUGGGAACGUACCUUUUGGUUCGGAACAACUCAGGGAAACUUGAGCUAAUACCGGAUGAGCCCUUAGGGGGAAAGAUUUAUCGCCGAAAGAGCGGCCCGCGUUAGAUUAGCUAGUUGGUGAGGUAAAGGCUCACCAAGGCUACGAUCUAUAGCUGGUCUGAGAGGAUGAUCAGCCACACUGGGACUGAGACACGGCCCAGACUCCUACGGGAGGCAGCAGUGGGGAAUCUUGCGCAAUGGGCGAAAGCCUGACGCAGCCAUGCCGCGUGAAUGAUGAUGGUCUUGGGAUUGUAAAAUUCUUUUACCAGGGACGAUAAUGACGGUACCUGGAGAAAAAGCCCCGGCUAACUUCGUGCCAGCCGCCGCAGUAAAAC
rnacentral:rRNA from 1 species